rnacentral:rRNA from 1 species
CUAAGUUUGAUGGCGACCGGCGCACGGGUGAGUAACACGUAUCCAACCUGCCGAUGACUCGGGGAUAGCCUUUCGAAAGAAAGAUUAAUACCCGAUGGCAUAGUUCUUCCGCAUGGUAGAACUAUUAAAGGAUUUCGGUCAUCGAUGGGGAUGCGUUCCAUUAGGUUGUUGGCGGGGUAACGGCCCACCAAGCCUUCGAUGGAUAGGGGGUUCUGAGAGGAAGGUCCCCCACAUUGGAACUGAGACACGGUCCAAACUCCUACGGGAGGCAGCAUG